rnacentral:rRNA from 1 species
GCGAACGGACGAGAAGCUGCUUCUCUGAUGUUAGCGGCGGACGGGUGAGUAACACGUGGAUAACCUACCUAUAAGACUGGGAUAACUUCGGGAAACCGGAGCUAAUACCGGAUAAUAUUUUGAACCGCAUGGUUCAAAAGUGAAAGACGGUCUUGCUGUCACUUAUAGAUGGAUCCGCGCUGCAUCAGCUAGUUGGUAAGGUAACGGCUUACCAAGGCAACGAUGCAUAGCCGACCUGAGAGGGUGAUCAGCCACACUGGAACUGAGACACGGUCCAGACUCCUACGGGAGGCAGCAGUAGGGAAUCUUCCGCAAUGGGCGAAAGCCUGACGGAGCAACGCCGCGUGAGUGAUGAAGGUCUUCGGAUCGUAAAACUCUGUUAUUAGGGAAGAACAUAUGCGUAAGUAACUGUGCACAUCUUGACGGUACCUAAUCAGAAAGCCACGGCUAACUACGUGCCAGCAGCCGCGGUAAUACGUAGGUGGCAAGCGUUAUCCGGAAUUAUUGGGCGUAAAGCGCGCGUAGGCGGUUUUUUAAGUCUGAUGUGAAAGCCCACGGCUCAACCGUGGAGGGUCAUUGGAAACUGGAAAACUUGAG